rnacentral:lncRNA from 1 species
GGGGGGUGGGGAGGAAGGGAAGGGCCAUGACUGACAGAAGCACAGGCUAGCCGCAGGCUGCUUUCUCGUACUGUCUCUGUGGCGUGGAGCUUGGAGACUCCUUCCCUCUCCUGCUCAAAUAACCCGAGGAGCUCUGGACCACCUGAGAAGAACCCGACGCCUGUGGAAAGCGGUAAUGUUUGCACCAGUCAUAUUUGUGCAACUGACAGGGCCCGCUGCUGACACCUGCAGUGGCCCCUACAUUAUUACUUUCUCUUUUUUUAAAAAAAGUAUGGCUCAGUGCCUUGAGCUGUGCUGGACAGCUGGUCUGGCUGCCACGUUCACUUCCCACAAUACGCCUGAUAAUGGGGCUUCGCUCCAGGGCAUUGUGGGAAAUGAAAAUGGUAGCCCCCUGCUCAGAGCACUGUUGCCUCCCGCCACCAAAUAAGUCCAUCGACGGAGGAGGGGGCCCACCGGAGAGCCAGUGAAAGCAGCACACACGCCCCAAGUUUGGGCCAGGGGCCUGAAGAGGAGUCUCGACAUGGGCUUCUGCCACAUGGCCUGCAGUGGCAGGCAUCCCUGGUGCAUCAUGGGCUGGAGCCGCACAAAAGGAUUCCCCCCGCUGCACACAUAGCCUGAGAAAGUUGGUCCCGGGGAUCUUCUCAAACAGGCAGGAUAGAUUAGCGUCAGCUUUGCGUCUGGCUGUUCAUAGCGAUUACUAUAUUCCGUUCCAUUGUGGUUUUUCUUUUUUGUUUGUUUUCGUAUUUAAACUCAGGUGUAGUGUUUUAUAUAUAUGUUAUGUGUGCGUGUGUAUAUAUAUAUAUAUAUACACACACACACAUAAAUAUUGAUGAUUUCAAAAUAUUAAAUAUGCUAUAUCAAGUUACGUGGUCAUGUGUUGUCUAGCUUACCGGUGUAGUAAUGGAACAAAGCUUUUAGAAUAAUUUAAUUUAUCUUCACUAAAAACUUAAGGGCUGGAGCAGGACGGGGAGGGGGCAGGAAUAAAAGGACCCCCACCCCUCCAGCUCACGGAGUGGAAGCACAGAGACAUCACAAAGGUCACAUCAUCUCAUUAAUUUUAUGUUUGUUUGGGGCGGGGUGGGGAUAAUGUAGAACUGCCCAUUCAUUUUAUGCGUGGUGAUAUUUCUGCCCUGUGUAUUUCUGCAACACGCUAAGCUUUGGCUAUCUGAAGCAUGAACUUGACAAUGCUAAAGUGGUCUUUUCCUUAAGCAAACCAAACAGAGGCUUUGGAGAUAGCCAAGUGGCCUCCAGGGGCUGCCCAUAAGACUGGCUAGAAUGAGGAAACUAUCGUACAGUGCACUGUCCUGCUUGUAUGGAACGAGAGGCCUUUACACAAAACGGGAUUAGCAAAGCCUUUUUAAAGGGAGGCAUUGCGUAAAGCAAAAUUGUGGAGUGUGCGAUUCCCUUGUUCCUGGUGUGAAAAAUCACAAACCGUCAUUCGUCCUUUUUGAAGCGGGUGGGAAGAAGCCCCAUCACCUGCAUUCCUUUUUCUACAGGAUGCUGAACAGAAAAGCAAAUAGCUUCCCACAGGCAGAAACUGCAGCUACAGUUGGCGUCCUCUGCAGUGGGCGUCCUCUGCCUGCCUCGUUCCAGCAAGAGAGGUCCAUGCAGGUAUUAAAUGCCCUUCAUUCCGUGAGUGUUUGCCAAUGCGUUUGGGAUGAUGCAGGCCCCCAUCUGCGUGGCAAUACUCACUUGAACGGGGUUGGGCUGCCCCGACACACCUUCUGAUGGGGGGUGCGUCAGCCUCUAAAGCCGCCAGGUUAGUUUUGCAAAGGCUACAACUGCAUUGAAGGCUUGUGGGGUUUAAGCAACCUCGCCCGUGUGCAGGGAAUGCUGCCUUCAAGUCAGUUUCAAGUGAAUACAUAGAAUUGUAGAGUUGGAAGGGACCCCAACAGUCAUCUAGUCCAACCCCCUGCCACGCAGGAAUUCAAUUCAAGUAGUUUGGUUUACACUAGCGGGUUUUUGUCUCUUAACUUUGAACUUAUUUAAAAUGAACACACUGUUACAUUUCUUCCUCUUCUGUCAAGCUUCUUUUCCACCACCCCUCUUUUUUUUUUUUUUUGUUCAAAGGUGUGCAAAAUGCCAAGGGCAAGCAAAAAUUUGAAAAAUAAAUGAAUAAAUCAGGAUAUUUUUCUCUAUCUCUAUUUUUAGAGACACCGUUUAGCGUGCAUGUGGGCGGGAGGGAAUUCCAUAUUGUUAAAAUAAUGCUAUCUCUCCAAAAAAAAAGGCUUUUUAAAAAAUUAAAAACGGAAAAACAAAGACUUCUUUUGAAAUUAUGUGCAGAAUAGUUCUGGGGGGGGGGGGGAAAUAUGAAAUGUAUUCCGUUUUAGAGGAGCAGGGAGGUAUUUUUUUAUUGUGAGGCUUUCUUUGUACAGAAUUUUUUUCUUACGGUUGUAAUUUGAAUCUCUUGCCAUUUGUUAGGGUUAUUUCAUUGUAGUCAUUGUUGCUGUGCCAAAUGUACUGUAUUCUAAAGGAUGUGAAUGUGUAUUGUUUCGGAACCUAAUAAAUCAAGGAUGUUAAAAUCUUA